rnacentral:misc_RNA from 1 species
GAUGAAGAACGCAGCGAAAUGCGAUACUUGGUGUGAAUUGCAGAAUCCCGUGAACCAUCGAGUCUUUGAACGCAAGUUGCGCCCGAAGCCACUAGGCCGAGGGCACGCCUGCCUGGGCGUCACACGCCGUUGCCCCCCCAUCUACUCCUUCGGGAUUGCGGGGGGGCGGAUGAUGGCCUCCUGUGCGCCUAGCCGCGCGGUUGGCAUAAAUACCAAGUCCUCGGCGACGCACGCCACGACAAUCGGUGGUUGCGAAACCUCGGUUGCCCGUCGUGUGCGUUCGUCGCGCAUCGAGGGCUCGAAAAAAUGCUCGGCUCCGGCUGGGCUUUCAACGCGACCCCAGGUCAGGCGGGGUUACCCGCUGAAUUUAAGCAUAUCAAUAAGCGAGG